UACGAACUGUGCAAACGUUAUUCGGAAUCACUGGGCUUACAGGGUGCGUAGGCGGCUUGUUAAGCAGGGUGUGAAAUCCCUCGGCUCAACCGAGGAAUUGCGCCCUGAACUGGCGAGCUGGAGUGGGACAGAGGUGCGCGGAACUUCCAGUGGAGCGGUGAAAUGUGUUGAUAUUGGAAGGAACGCCGGAGGCGAAAGCGGCGCACUGGGUCUUAACUGACGCUGAGGCACGAAAGCCAGGGGAGCAAACGGG
rnacentral:rRNA from 2 species